rnacentral:rRNA from 1 species
UACGGAGGGUGCUAGCGUUGUUCGGAAUCACUGGGCGUAAAGGGCUCGUAGGUGGCCAACUAAGUCAGACGUGAAAUCCCUCGGCUUAACCGGGGAACUGCGUCUGAUACUGGAUGGCUAGAGAUUGGGAGAGGGAUGCGGAAUUCCAGGUGUAGCGGUGAAAUGCGUAGAUAUCUGGAGGAACACCGGUGGCGAAGGCGGCAUCCUGGACCAACACUGACGCUGAGGAGCGAAAGCCAGGGGAGCAAACGGG